rnacentral:rRNA from 1 species
UACAGAGGUCUCGAGCGUUAGGCGGGAUCACUGGGCUUAAAGCGCGUGUAGGCGGUCCGGUAAGUCGGCUGUGAAAGUCCAGGGCUCAACCCUGGGAUGCCGGUCGAUACUGCCGGACUAGAGUUCGGAAGAGGCGAGUGGAAUUCCCGGUGUAGCGGUGAAGUGCGCAGAUAUCGGGAGGAACACCAACGGCGAAGGCAGCUCGCUGGGACGUUACUGACGCUGAGACGCGAAAGCGUGGGGAGCAAACAGG